rnacentral:lncRNA from 1 species
AGCCUGCCUCAGAAAAGUUAUGGCAACAUUAGAUUACUUAGAAGGAAGAUAAUGUUAGCUAUAGUGGAAAGAAACAUUUUAAAACAUGAAUAUUCUUAUAGUGCAAAAUGGGUUUUGUCAACUUGCAGAUAAAGAUGGACAUUACCACCUACCCAUAUUCACCUACCCACUAAAUGCCAUUUCUAGCUUAAGGAAUCUAAAUUUGCUAUUCUACCCAAAGACUUUCAGAAUUAGUCCUCUCAUUUUCUCACCUACCAAGCUUAUAUAUAUAUAUAUAUAUAUAUUAUAUUGCCUGGAAAUUUGUCUAUUUCUACAGAUGAAGCAGUCUUCUUCUUCAGAGCUAAAGCAUGCCCCACCAUGUAGUUGAGCUAGGGCAACCAGUUCAACGAAACUGGUAAAUUAUAAAUGCCCAACUGUAUGCAAAUAAUCACAUUAAUUGCAAGGUUGAUUGGUUAGUACAUCACAUGGGUUACCACCAAAGCUAAUCACAAAAGGCUAGUUUAAACUAUAAGAUAAUAAUGUGAUGAGAAGUAGUUCACCAACAAACUCGUUUGUUUCAGCUGGGGAUACAUAUUAUCAAUUUCUUAAGAGAGCUCUAUCUCUACUUGUGCUAUUCUAUUAUCUAUUACACAGUUUCAACUAUUACACAGUUUCAACUAUGUUGCCUGGAAAUUUGUCUAUUUCUACAGAUGAAGCAGUCUUCUCCUUCAGAGCUAAAGCAUGCCCCACCAUGUAGUUGAGCUAGGGCAACCAGUUCAACGAAACUGGUAAAUUAUAAAUGCCCAACUGUAUGCAAAUAAUCACAUUAAUUGCAAGGUUGAUUGGUUAGUACAUCAUAUGGGUUACCACCAAAGCUAAUCACAAAAGGCUAGUUUAAACUAUAAGAUAAUAAUGUGAUGAGAAGUAGUUCACCAACAAACUCGUUUGUUUCAGCUGGGGAUACAUAUUAUCAAUUUCUUAAGAGAGCUCUAUCUCUACUUGAGCUAUUCUAUUAUCUAUUACACAGUUUCAACUAUGUUGCCGGAUCCUACAGGACAACUUUUCUUUUUCACUUCCUCUUAACUAGUUCUAAGCCCAAUAUUAACUUCCCUCAACAAAAUCUAAUUUAAACUACCAAGAAUUUUCACUGCAUCACACCAAAGGAAUUUACAGAGAAUGAUAGGCUUCCAAAGCAAGUAAAGAGAAAGAGUAUAGUACCCUG